rnacentral:rRNA from 1 species
GCUUAGGAAUCUACCAAGUAGUGGGGGAUAGCCAUUGGAAACGAUGAUUAAUACCGCAUAUAUCCUACGGACCAAAGGAGGGGAUCUUCGGACCUUUCGCCUUUAGAUUAGCCCAAGUGAGAUUAGCUAGAUGGUGGGGUAAUGGCCUACCAUGGCGACGAUCUCUAGCUGGUUUGAGAGGAUGAUCAGCCACACUGGGACUGAGACACGGCCCAGACUCCUACGGGAGGCAGCAGUGGGGAAUAUUGCACAAUGGGGGAAACCCUGAUGCAGCCAUGCCGCGUGUGUGAAGAAGGCCUU